rnacentral:rRNA from 1 species
AUUGAACGCUGGCGGCAUGCUUUACACAUGCAAGUCGAACGGUAACGGGGACUUCGGUCUGCCGACGAGUGGCGAACGGGUGAGUAAUAUAUCGGAACGUGCCCAGUAAUGGGGGAUAGCUACGGCGAAAGCCGGAUUAAUACCGCAUACGCCCUGAGGGGGAAAGUGGGGGAUCUUCGGACCUCACGUUAUUGGAGCGGCCGAUAUCAGAUUAGCUAGUUGGUGGGGUAAAGGCCUACCAAGGCGACGAUCUGUAGCUGGUCUGAGAGGAUGAUCAGCCACACUGGGACUGAGACACGGCCCAGACUCCUACGGGAGGCAGCAGUGGGAAUUUUGGACAAUGGGCGAAAGCCUGAGUCCAGCCAUGCCGCGUGUGUGAGAA